rnacentral:rRNA from 1 species
AUACGUAGGGGGCAAGCGUUGUCCGGAAUGACUGGGCGUAAAGGGCGCGUAGGCGGCUUUUUAAGUCUGGAGUGAAAGUCCUGCUUUCAAGGUGGGAAUUGCUUUGGAAACUGGAGAGCUUGAGUGCGGAAGAGGUAAGUGGAAUUCCCAGUGUAGCGGUGAAAUGCGUAGAGAUUGGGAGGAACACCAGUGGCGAAGGCGACUUACUGGGCCGUAACUGACGCUGAUGCGCGAAAGCGUGGGGAGC